GAGGAGCAAGCCAGUAAGCAGCAUCCCCCUGUGGCCACUGUAUCAGCUCCUGCCUCCAGGCUGCUAGGCUGUGAGACCUCAAGUCAAAGUCAAUCCUAUGAUGAGUCAGACUGACAAGUUCUACUAGAGGGCUGGAGAGCAGACUCGGCUCCCUGAAGAUGAUCAGACGGUUUGCAGCUGGAAGUAACACUUGGUGGCUAUUUGUCUGCUGUAUCCACAUUACAGGAUGAGAUGUUCCCAAGAAUAAUUCCUAGUGAUCCUGGGGCUGCUCAUGAGAUCUUUGCCAGCAAGAGAGGCGAACUCUGCAGCACACAUCUCAAUUCCAGUCUGACAAAUCAUCUGUCAAGAUAAGACCCCAGUAGAUUGUUUAAUUGUGCAUCAGGUUUAGGUGACAGAACUUGAGUAUGACAAAGAGGGGAUGGAGGGGAUAGCUUCCUUCUCUCCCCUAAGAACGAUGGUGUUGUGAAUGAAGACAUCCGGUGUGCUUGUCCCUGUCUGUGUUUGGGGUGAUAGAAGAUUCUGGUAGCUGCUGUGAAACAGAUACUGCAUAUCAGCAUCUGGGGUUUGAUCAUCUUGGAGAAAACUUGACUCUUCCUGAUGUAUUUGUGAAUAGACUUCCCACUCUACUCCGUCAGCCUUUAGAUGUGGAUUAUUGGGAGAGAUGUUUGAUUGCUUUUGUUCCUCUUUAAAAGAAUUUAAUUUUGGAUUGGCAUGUAAUAUUUGUAUACACUUAAGUGGUAAAAUGUGAUGGUUUUAAUUGGUACAUAAUACUGGGAAGUAUCAACACAACAUAGUUAUCACAUUUUUCACCUUAGACUGUUAUCAUUUCCUUAUUGUCAGAACCUCAAGAAGCCCCUCUUUAACCAUUUGAAGAUACACAAUGCAUUGUGGCUAAUUAUAUCCUCCCUACUGUGGUAGGGCACACCAGAACCUACCCUAACUAACAGUAACAUGAGCCAGCUCUCUGUCUCCCAAGCUCCUCUCUGCUCCAUCUCUGGUCGCCAGUACACUGCUCUCCACUUCUUUGAAGUCUUACAUGCAAAUGGGAUUGGGUAGUGUUUGCCUUUUUGGACAUGAAUUACUUCAGUCUGCAUAAUGGCCUCUGAGUGUCUGCAUUAUAUUGCAAAUCACAAAAUGUCAUUCUAUUUAUAGCUAAAUAAUAUUCCACAGCAUAUUCACACAAUAUACUGUUUUCCUACCUAUUUAUGCAUGGUGAACAUUUAGGAUAAUUCCAUUUCCUGGAUAUUUUUAAUAUAGCAAAUAAGAGUAGAAGUCCAGAUGUCUUUUGAUAUGUUGAGUUCAUUUUCUUUUAUACAUUCCCAGUGGUAGAAUUGUUGGUUCCUAUGAUAGCUUUGAUUUUAUGGGUUUGUUUGUUGGUUUGUUUAAGGAAUUUUGCUUUGAAAUAGUUGUAGAGUACUCUUCUACAGGAGCCAAAGACCACUUAAGCACAGCACCAAUACCAAAUCUGAGGAGCCAUGUAUUUGAAGAAGGGAUAAGAAGGUUAUAUGGGAGGUUUUGGAGGGUGGAAAGAGAAGGGAGAAAUGUUGUAAUUAUAUUAUAAUCUUAAAAAAAAAAUAAAGUUAAU
rnacentral:lncRNA from 1 species